CAGCAGCCACGGGAAAACGAAGGGGGCUAGCGUUGCUCGGAAUGACUGGGCGUAAAGGGCGCGUAGGCGGCGAUCAAAGUCAGGCGUGAAAUUCCUGGGCUCAACCUGGGGGCUGCGUUUGAUACUUGGUUGCUAGAGUGAGGAAGAGGGUCGUGGAAUUCCCAGUGUAGAGGUGAAAUUCGUAGAUAUUGGGAAGAACACCGGUGGCGAAGGCGGCGACCUGGUCCUUGACUGACGCUGAGGCGCGAAAGCGUGGGGAGCAAACAGGAUUAGAGACCCCUGUAGUCCCUGUCUCUUAUAC
rnacentral:rRNA from 1 species